CGGCCGUAACUAUAACGGUCCUAAGGUAGCGAAAUUCCUUGUCGGGUAAGUUCCGACCCGCACGAAAGGCGUAACGAUUUGGGCACUGUCUCAACGAGAGACUCGGUGAAAUCAUAGUACCUGUGAAGAUGCAGGUUACCCGCGACAGGACGGAAAGACCCCGUGGAGCUUUACUGUAGCCUGAUAUUGAAAUUCGGCACAGCUUGUACAGGAUAGGUAGGAGCCUUUGAAACGUGAGCGCUAGCUUACGUGGAGGCGCUGGUGGGAUACUACCCUAGCUGUGUUGGCUUUCUAACCCGCACCACUUAUCGUGGUGGGAGACAGUGUCAGGCGGGCAGUUUGACUGGGGCGGUCGCCUCCUAAAAGGUAACGGAGGCGCUCAAAGGUUCCCUCAGAAUGGUUGGAAAUCAUUCAUAGAGUGUAAAGGCAUAAGGGAGCUUGACUGCGAGACCUACAAGUCGAGCAGGGUCGAAAGACGGACUUAGUGAUCCGGUGGUUCCGCAUGGAAGGGCCAUCGCUCAACGGAUAAAAGCUACCCCGGGGAUAACAGGCUUAUCUCCCCCAAGAGUUCACAUCGACGGGGAGGUUUGGCACCUCGAUGUCGGCUCAUCGCAUCCUGGGGCUGUAGUCGGUCCCAAGGGUUGGGCUGUUCGCCCAUUAAAGCGGUACGCGAGCUGGGUUCAGAACGUCGUGAGACAGUUCGGUCCCUAUCCGUCGUGGGCGUAGGAAAUUUGAGAGGAGCUGUCCUUAGUACGAGAGGACCGGGAUGGACAUACCUCUGGUGUACCAGUUGUCGUGCCAACGGCAUAGCUGGGUAGCUAUGUGUGGACGGGAUAAGUGCUGAAAGCAUCUAAGCAUGAAGCCCCCCUCAAGAUGAGAUUUCCCAACUUCGGUUAUAAGAUCCCUCAAAGAUGAUGAGGUUAAUAGGUUCGAGGUGGAAGCAUGGUGACAUGUGGAGCUGACGAAUACUAAUCGAUCGAAGACUUAAUCAA
rnacentral:rRNA from 1 species